AGUAAAAGUUGGAUGGUACAUCAACGAGUAAAAUAUCAAUGAGAUAGUUGAUUGAAUGAGACGCGAAAAUCUGAAUUUAGUUCCCGCAUUCGAAAAUUACUAUCGUUCCGUUUUCGAAUACCGAAUAGUAUUACGGGUAUCAGGAUUGGCCGCGGCAUUCCCCGGAUCAGCCAAUCGAGGACUGCGACACAAACAGGAGCAUCGUCUUUUCUUUUUGUUGACGCAACUGCGCAGCUAAUUUUAGCAACACUCGCACUCAUACUCGGCCUGGAUCAUCCGACGCUUUCGCACGUAUUCCUAUUUCAUUCUCGGCAAGAGCGAUCGAAGGUCAACCGAGUAAAUUUGGAAUACGUAAUAUAAAUUAAUCGUUUUUCUUCAAACAUUUAUUUCCAGCGAUCGGAUUCAUUUCCGGCCAUUAAUCUAGUUGCUUCUAGUAAUUUCUAAUCUCUGGAAUUUGUCAAAUCCAGUCGGAAUUUGAAGUUUUUUGUUUUAAACAUGUCGAUUGCCAUCGAUGGGAAUGUUCAUUUUUGAAGGGUUGGCACGGCUGAUUUCGAAAUUCAGUACGGGAAGUGUUUGCGCGGGGUAUAACCGAGCUGCUUAUUACAUGUUCAACGUUUAAAUAAUUGACAUUAAGCGUUUAAUUAACACCAAAAUGGAUCUAAUUACACAUUAGGCGACUUUGUUUAUCGAGAUUAACCAGUACGAUCUACGAUCCAGUCUUAAUACACGAGGCCAGAGAAGCUGACAACCGAGACAACGCUAUCUUUCUGGAAAAAUCAUGCAGGAGACACAUUUAUUCAAUGUAUGACACACAUCUGACGUGUGAAUAGAUAAUGCUUCGUGUAAUUAUCGUUUGAGAAAGAUUGAAAGUCAGUUAGAAUAUCAUCGACAAUUUUUUGACCAAGUAUUUUAUUCCAUUUGUCGCGUUAGAUGGUGGCACCACCUAUUUCUCUAUUCGCGAGAUAAAAUACUGUUCGAUUGUAUUAACAGGUGUCUCUAGGGUCUGCGUCAGUAGAGCAAGUGUUUCGUCAGUCGGUAAUCACUAAAUGUAUACCGACAUUUUAUUUUAAAUAUGUACCUAUUUCCACCUCGAUCGAUCAAAUGACUGAUUCUACAGACACUACUUUAUCUAUCGAAUGGAAAAAUAUUUCACGAAAUAUUUAUUUAUUACUAAAUCGAAUAAUACACGAAACAAUGGUAUAUUAUUUAUACAUUUUAUGUAAGAAAAUAGGCAAAAGUGAAAUGAUUCGAAAAUGGUCGUUAGCGUUAAUCGGAUACUCGGACGUCCGUUGGAAUCGUUUAAGUCGAUAACACUGGCAUACGCCAAUGGUCGCGUAACGUCGAGAAAAGGGGAAAAAUAAGAAAGCUCGGUGGUCGUGGUCGCAAACGAUGCGUCGUGACGUAAGAGUCCCGGAUUCGCGGUCGCUAUAUUUAGGCUGCCCGGGCCCCGGUCCGUUUUUAGUCGGAAACAGGUGGACAUCCAAGCUGUGCGAAGGCAGCAUAGCCGACGGGUCUCCGGUUGACUUUGACCGAUUUUCACCAACUCCCAUUGGAAUGGGCUCCCUUAUGCCGCGCACCGUCGCGUCGUCACGAUAAUGACCCAUUAAACGUCCGUCGCUGUUUUCCUCCAAUUUAUACAAUUCUCUAUUUUUACUCGCGAGCGUGACAGUUACACCGCUUAAGAUAAUCGAACGAUCGACAGCCCAUACAAGGAUCUCGAGUACCUUAAAUCGCUCGAUAUCAACGUCGCAAAUUUACUGCUUCGCGAGAAUUUAACUUACAACUAGCAGAGUCAGUUAGUUUACUUUUCAUCGCGAGUGCUUUUCAACGCGCGUCUACAGGCGUCUAACGAUACAUCGUCUCGUUAACCAUGGAUCCUCUAGAUAUCGAAACGGUUAGUAGCAAACAGUUGCGCGGAGUUCGUCACUCGGAAUACCGGAGUAGAAAUACGUUCCACCUGGAAAACGGGGUCAACCGCGUUCUUCUUGAUUUCAAGUACAACGCCCAUUCAUAAAAUACGUUUUAUCGUCCCUCGUUUGGUUCAACUGCGUAUCGAGGUAGUUAGUUUGCGAGAAUUCGAUUUUUUUCUAAAAAUACAGCGAUGGUGGAAGCGAGACCGCGAUAGGAACUCGAAUCGGGGAGGCGGGUAUACAUCCCCAUCCGGACGCGUGUGUAAUCUAGAUGGCUUCUAAAAAUACACGCGGCGCGGUCAAGCAAAUCAUCUGGGGCGUAGGUCCAAAAACUGAAAUACGUCCCGACUGGCAUACCUUUUCAUAGGUACACAGACGCGUAGCUUUCUGCGCGUUCUACUUGGAUGCGUCAUCGGUGGCGUUCGCAAAAUUGCAGCGAGAGCAAAAGAAUCGAAUAACCGAGGCAUUUGCCAGACUCUCGGCAGACACGUGGAUUUCUUCGGUGACAGGCGAUAGCGAUAGACGCACUUUCAUCUGUCCUUUCCUCCUACCCUGGCUGAUAUCGACAUAGGUAACCUAUUGUUCGUAGUGGUUCGUCCUAUCAAUUCAUUGUAAAUUCGAGGAUUCGGUGUAUUCAGAGAUCACUAAUAAACCUAGUCUACGAAAACCAAAACGAUUUCGUCAUUCUACCCUUAUUCCCAGCAAUUAUAGGCCAGGUCGUUGCGACAAAUUUUAAUUUACGACGUCCUCUAGAUUCUCAUUUGAAAGCUCGUUGACAGUUCCGAGUUCACUUGCCAAAGCAUACGUCCAUGGCUCGCAAAUGUAGCAGUGCUAGAAAACCGGCUCGCGUCGAGAACUCGACAGGAACCGAACAAAUUCCCCGAGCGUGCGCUUCUUCAAGUUUUAUAAGCGAAGCUGGCCGUCUCGCGUGACUCGUUAAAGGGUGCACGAGACCCGACACCACCUCAGAAACGAGGGAAACUUUGGCGUAUCGGUCUACGAUGCGGAAACUUUAACCGUCGGCUGAAAAGACAACGAACACGACACGUUGUGGUGAAACGCGUGAAACGGUGUUACUAGAAUAUAGCGACUGCCUAGUUGCAUCAAAAGUUUUCUAUCGUACAGCUCGAGUAGAGUUCUGGGGAAGCCCUUAGGAAAUCAAUAGGACCAGGUUCGUAUAGUUAUCGAACUUUGUCUAGCAGAAUGGGUAAUUCAUUUUUCGAUCAGCCCUGACUGACGGGAUGAUUAUAAACCUGCUCUGUUCCCUUAAAGACGUAAGCUUUGAUUGCUCGGAGUAGAGUCCAUUACUUCAAGCUUUCCAUCCCCUGUUUAUCGUUUAAUUGCUCGAGUACUGGAAAAGGUCGAAAGUAGGUUGAAUCGUUAAAUUGAAAUCUGGAUACAAUUUAUAGCGAAGCACAUUUCGAAACUGAGAAUCGUAAAUCUUUCGAUGGAUAGUUGACCUAAAUAAAUUGAAGUCAGUAAACUCAAGUACAUACUUGGACAGACAUAUUUCAAAGUAGAUUAGUCGAUAGAAUGAUGCUAGUAGCCGAUUAUAAUUGUUUUGGUUCGAAAUCCAAGUUCCGCUUCGACUAGAAAGUAGCCUUUUCGCGACGUUAUAUUUAGCCGGAUGUAGCCGAAAGUAGUGACGCCUUAAUUCGGUCAGACGCGCAGUUUAGCUUGUCAAGCGGUGCGAGGCGCCUCUUGGCACUUGUGACGUACUUUACGAUAUUAAGAGAAUGAGCAAUCUGGAGCGUGUCUUUCUAGGUGCUUGUAAUUUUAUACGCGGUACCUCGUGGAAAUUUUAAACGUGCAAGACUCUUUGCGAAACAUUCACUCCAUGGUGAAACUAUAACAUUCGACAGAAUAGAACACAAACUCGACUCUAUACUGGUCCACCUAUGUAUAUCUUCUAACUACGAUCGAUCGCGAUUGUUAUUAAUUUUCCUUCGACCACAAAAGCAUCGCUACAAAUAAAAUGAACGAGUUAUUCCAUGACCGAAAAUGUAACUUUUAUUUAACGGAUCCAAACGGUACGCGUGCCAUUCCUUAGGUAAAACGCAUUCCACGGUGCUUUACAGGCGCCAGCAAGAAAUAGAUGACGCUAGAAAAAGUAGACGACGCGAGAUGGCGCUAAUCAUUGGCAAAAAUUAUUUAACCGUAGAAAGGGAGCGGUUAUAACAGACACAACGGACUUGGCGGCACUCGAGGGCCCCUAGCUAUUUUUAUCCGACGGUAUAAGUACACUGCGGCACGUUACAUAACUACCAAACAAAUUGCUGCCAAUUAUUAUAAACAAUUCGGCCGGUUGCGAUUGGCAACGAACUCGACCGUGUCCACCUUUCGAGAAGUGUCGUGGACGCGGCAGCCAUCGAAGUCUGCCUUGAAUUGGUAUGCGAUCGGGGCGAAAUCGAGACGCGCGUCGCGCCAACUAUUGCGAGCGCGCCUCCACGAAAUUAGAACCACGGAUUCGGGACGAUAUUUCGCGAGUUUCGAACGAGACGAUGAUAAAUCGAUCGCGAUCACCGCGUCAACUGCCACUUCACACUGCUUAAACAAACUGGACAAAGUUUGACGAUAAUACACUAGGUACGGAGAGAACGGUGACGCAACCACGCACUGUUUCAAUAUUUAUUU